rnacentral:rRNA from 1 species
GGCGGUUCGCCGCCCGUGACGUCGCGAGAAGUCCACUGAACCUUAUCAUUUAGAGGAAGGAGAAGUCGUAACAAGGUUUCCGUAGGUGAACCUGCGGAAGGAUCAUUGUCGUCGCCUUGCGAAAACACGAACGUGAUCGAGCUCUGCCGGGGAGGCGCCUGCUCUGCAUGCCGCCCCCCCGGACCACCGGCCCCCGACCCUCGCGCCCUUUCUCGGGCGCGCGGGCCGUGUGCCGGGAACAAAUACGGCGCGGAUUGUCGCCAAGGAACACGAUACGCUGAGGCGGCCGGCGGAGCGCUCCGGCGCGCGGCCUGCCGUCGAUGCAAAAAUACUUACACGAUGACUCUCGGCAACGGAUAUCUCGGCUCUCGCAUCGAUGAAGAACGUAGCGAAAUGCGAUACGUGGUGUGAAUUGCAGAAUCCCGCGAACCAUCGAGUCUUUGAACGCAAGUUGCGCCCGAGGGAUCCGCCCGAGGGCACGCCUGCCUCAUGGGCGUUAGAAGCCCAUCCACGCUCGGGAGCCUAGCCUAGCAAUGGCCCCGACGCGGACCGUGGCCCUCCGAGCCCCGUGGCGCGGUGGGCCUAAGUGUGCGGCCGUCGGAAGGAGCCGGGAGCGGCGAGUGGUGGAUUGCUGCGCGCGCCGCCCCGCGUCCCUUUCCGGCAAACGGCUUUGUCCGACCCACGAACGAGGAGCCGCGCCGCCUCCGGGUGCGCGCGGCACUUUCGGAUCGAUACCCCAGGUCAGGCGGGGCUACCCGCUGAGUUUAAGCAUAUAAAUAAG